GUUAAGUUUAAUUUUAUAUAUAAUUUAACAAAACUGACAUUAGAUAAAGAAGAUAUCAUCAAGCAUGAUUAUGACAUGAUAGGUAUGCAAUUAUGUUCUCCAUUAAUUAAAAAAUGCAAUAAUCAAGAUGACUAUGCAAUAUGUCUAAUAAAAAACAAUACAGAAAUAGGAACAGGAAGGUUUUCUCCAAAAUUAGAUAAUGAAUAAAGAAGAAUUUUGUUUAAUUUUACUGGUGAUGGUUGUCUACAUGGAAUCAAUCAUAUGACAGUCAUGUAUUGUGAUUAUGAUACAGAGACUAAUUCAUAUCCUGAAUUAUUUUCGUAUUAUGGAAAAUUGCGUUAGCUUGUGUACUACAACCCAAACAAAUUGUACAGUUGUUAACACUGGAUAGGUAUCAACAAGCAGAUUUUAUAUUCAAAUU